GGGUCAAUAGUGAGAACUUAUAUUGUCCUGCAGAAGAGAGGUAGUGACUUAAAAUCAUGCUCAAUAGGAUUACGCUGAGGCCC
rnacentral:snoRNA from 1 species